GUCCACCUAACAUGGCAAUUCCCACCGUUGUCCUCUUGCCCUUGCCCCCACAUGUGCCUGGCAGUAUGGCUGCCCCUACAUAUCCCCACGUGUGUGGAACAUCAUGGCGCCCUGCAUUUGCAUAUUAAAAAGAGAGGAUGGGAGGCCCAGUUUUUUCGCGGGCUACGUGAAUGACAUGCCUGGUCAAACCAAUGCCCCGAGCUUUAUGCAAAUCAGACACCGCCUCCUCCAGCCUUCCAAUAUAGCUGGUUGAUACUAUCUGAAAGCGGGGUUCUGUCUCUUGGCUUUGGAGCCACCCUCCCUCUGUCUCUGUAGAGGGGAGCUUUUUCUUUCUUUCCUCCCCCUUCUCUCUUGCCUGACUCCUCCUCAACCCUGCUCCCCUCCCAACUCAGCUGCCCCUUUCAGCAACUCUGGCCUCCAGCCUCUCCUCCCUACUGGUCACCCUCCUUCUCCUCCCCAAUCCCAACCCCAUUUAAACACAACAGAAGCAAAUUGUUUAUGAAUAGCCCUAAUUUACAAUGCAUCCAUAAUGACUGGGAAGACACCGAUAAUUUAUUUAAUGAGCAAAGACACAUGAUUCACAAACAAUGAUUCCAGUCAGAAAUUGGCUUCAUUAAUUUUCUGUAAGCCCUCUAUUAUGAUUCAGCACCCAGGGAGUGCCUCAGACCCACAAGUCUCCCCAGCACUUCUAUUACUCCAGCCUGAACCCAGCUCAGGUGUAGGUCCAGCACCCUCACCCUGCUCAUGGGCCUUUCCACCUAGCCAUGCUUAGCAGUUGCCCCCACACAGCCUGCUCUCCAGAAACCUUGCCAACCUGCCAUGCAACUGAUCUAGCUGUGUCUGCUAAUGGGAGAUCAUGCCAGGCCAGACAUUCCUGAGGGCCUUGACCCACAGAUCCCCAACCCACCCACAAGUACAGGCCACAAUGCGGUCUGUGUCAGCCACCAGAGCUCCACUAGCAGGUCACAGACCAGGAAACUGCCAACAUGAGCCUGGCAUUAAGACAUUUUGGGUGUUUUCUGCAUAUGGCUAGCCAAUUUUCCCAGAACCAUUUAUUAAAUAGGGAAUCCUUUCCCUAUUGCUUGUUUUUGUCAGGUUUGUUGAAGAUCAGAUGGUUGUAGAUAUAUCGUAUUAUUUCUGAGGACUCUGUUCCAUUGGACUAUAUGUCUGUUUUGGUACCAGUACUGGAC
rnacentral:lncRNA from 10 species